CCCAUACCAUGCCGCCUGAAGCUCUACCAUGGGAACUGAGUAAGAAGGAAAAAGUUUACCUCCAACACAUAAAACAACAGCAUGAUGAUUUCGAAUAGCAAUUCCGACCGUCGUGUUGUCUGCUAUAACCGAGGUAUCAAAGUUAAUUUUGACAACUCCUUCGAGAGGGGGUAGCCAAGAGAUGAAUUGGAAAAAGUAGAAGGAAGCUUCCUUCGCAAUUGGCUACCCUAGUACCGACACAGAAGCUGUAAGCUAUUUGAGACAACACUUUCAUUUACUUUUAAAAAAGUCCAAAGCUUACAUAAAAGCUGCAAUGUAGUGAUAUAAAAAUGAUUGAAAAUGCAUUCAUUUUGGGCCC
rnacentral:lncRNA from 1 species